rnacentral:tRNA from 1 species
ACAUUUGUGGUCUGGUGGUGAAAACACCAGGUUAGAAACCAGGAGAUGUGAGUUCGAAUCCCACCUUAGGCA